rnacentral:rRNA from 1 species
AGGUAACCUGCCCAUGUGCCCGGGAUAACUUCUGGAAACGGAUGCUAAAACCGGAUAGGUAGCAGACAAGCAUUUGACUGCUAUUAAAGUGGCUAAGGCCAUGAACAUGGAUGGACCUGCGGUGCAUUAGCUAGUUGGUGAGGUAACGGCCCACCAAGGCGACGAUGCAUAGCCGGCCUGAGAGAGCGGACGGCCACAUUGGGACUGAGACACGGCCCAAACUCCUACGGGAGGCAGCAUG